rnacentral:rRNA from 1 species
AACGAACGUUGGCGGCAGGCUUAACACAUGCAAGUCGAACGCAUCCUUCGGGGUGAGUGGCAGACGGGUGAGUAACGCGUGGGAACGUGCCCUUCAGUUCGGGAUAACCCAGGGAAACUUGGGCUAAUACCGGAUACGUGCGAGAGCAGAAAGAUUUAUCGCUGAAGGAUCGGCCCGCGUCUGAUUAGCUAGUUGGUGGGGUAAUGGCCCACCAAGGCGACGAUCAGUAGCUGGUCUGAGAGGAUGAUCAGCCACAUUGGGACUGAGACACGGCCAAAACUCCUACGGGAGGCAGCAGUGGGGAAUAUUGGACAAUGGGCGCAAGCCUGAUCCAGCCAUGCCGCGUGAGUGAUGAAGGCCUUAGGGUUGUAAAGCUCUUUCGUCCGGGACGAUAAUGACGGUACCGGAAGAAGAAGCCCCGGCUAACUUCGUGCCAGCAGCCGCGGUAA